AGAAUCAACGCUGGCGGCGUGCCUAACACAUGCAAGUCGCACGAGAAAGGGGAGCAAUCCCUGAGUAAAGUGGCGCACGGGUGAGUAACACGUGAAUCAUCUACCUCCGAGUGGGGAAUAACCUAGAGAAAUCUGGGCUAAUACCGCAUAACACUUACGAGUCAAAGCAGCAAUGCGCUUGGAGAGGAGUUCGCGGCCGAUUAGUUAGUUGGCGGGGUAAUGGCCCACCAAGACGAUGAUCGGUA
rnacentral:rRNA from 1 species